GCGUUGCAGGACGUGUUAGCCACCAUGUGCGGCUUGCGGCGCGACAGGCGGAGCGAACCUUAGGCACAAGUCACCUUUUGUAUCGUCCAGCAGACUCUCCUCAACAAUGAUUACAUCCCUGGGAGAAGAGAAGAAAUCAUGGAAACAGGUGGGACAGUGUUUUAAAUUGUGAAGCACGUGGAUUGCUUUUCAAAAUAAAUGCAUUUGGAAUCCCGCAGAGAAAAUUCUAACCAAGUUGGAACCAUCUAAAAUACAAAUUCAUUCAUUCAGCAAACACUGGGUAAAUAUCCCACAGUGUGAUCUGCCAGACAAGGAGAGAGGAGAAGGAAGACAAAAGAGCAGGCUGGUGAUUUGCUUUUCCCUACAAUCCCUACUGGCGGGUUGGUUAGAGUUAUUCUUCUCCAUCUCCAAGUGGGUGAAUCCAGUAAGUGAUCCUACCAGCAUUUGUGUAAUUCGACCUAUACGCCAAGUUGGACAACCCUGCUCUUUGCUCUGACAUCAUUCAAUAGAAAAUGAUGUGUAAAUGGAAUAA